UGGGUGUGAUCAUAAAACUGUGGAUGUGCUUGUACUUUGUGGUCCUCAAAACCUUGAGCGGAAAAUUAUUUUUUCCGAAUACCGUCCAAUAUGAGGUGACCCAGAUGUUUCCUUUAACAAUUGACUAGAAUCGCAAGUUAAAAGGCUUUGAGGUUGCAGGGUGUGUUGAAAGAUAAGUGCUUGUCCAUGUUAAUUAUAUAUGGCGAAUCAAGUCUGGGUUAAAUUCACUGUGUAGUGCACAAUAUCGUAUGUGGGUUUCUUCUGUUUUGAGAAGACAAAAUUUCUUGAUAAGGUGUCUUGGAGGUUGCAGUGAUCACUUUCACACCAAUCAUAAAACAAUGCAAGCAAUGAAGACCAUGAGUGCAUCCCCAUUGGAGGCUGAUUCUGAAAACAUUUUGAGAGCAAUCACUCCGACCCUUGAUCCUAGUAGACACAAGGGCCAGGCUGGGAAAAUAGCUGUGAUCGGUGGAUGUCGUGAGUACACGGGUGCUCCGUAUUUUGCAGCUAUUUCAGCCUUGAAAAUUGGUGCAGAUCUGUCUCAUGUAUUCUGUACCAAAGAUGCUGCUCCAGUCAUAAAAGGCUACAGCCCUGAAUUGAUAGUGCACCCAAUUUUGGAAGAGUCAUACAGCAUUAGUGGAUUGGGGGAUGAAGAGAGAAGCUCCAUCUCAAGCAACAUACUUGUUGAGGUUGAUAAAUGGAUGGAAAGAUUUGAUUGUCUUGUCGUUGGUCCAGGCCUUGGAAGGGAUCCAUUUCUUCUGGAAUGUGUUAGUGAAAUCCUGAAGUGUGCAAGGCAGUCAAAUGUUCCAAUUGUCAUAGACGGGGAUGGACUCUUUCUUGUAACUAACAGUCCUGAUCUUGUUAGUGGUUAUCACUUAGCUGUUUUAACUCCAAAUGUGAAUGAAUACAAGCGUCUAGUUCAGAAAGUACUCAGUUGUGAAGUAAAUGAUAAAGAUGCACCCAAGCAGUUACAAUCUCUUGUCAAGGGCAUUGGUGGAGUCACUAUUUUACAGAAAGGAAAGUCUGAUCUUAUUAGUGAUGGUGAGAUAGGAAACCUUAAAAGUCUUUUGAUAUCAACCGGUGAUGAUUUAUGCAGUCAAAUCGGUGAGCAUCUAUGGUUCCCCUCGGCGCUGUGGUGGCCAAGGUGAUAUUCUAUCGGGAAGUGUUGCUGUGUUUUUAUCUUGGGCCCGAGCCAAAGAAAAAUUUGCCAAGAGUCAAAUAAAUCCGACUGUGUUGGGUUGCAUUGCUGGGUCUUUUUUACUGAGAAAGGCAGCUUCUCUUGCUUUUGAACAUAAGAAAAGAUCAACUCUCACAACUGACAUCAUUGAGUACCUGGGGAAAAGUUUGGAGGAUAUUUGUCCAGCCUGCUGAUAGAAUGAGAAGCAGAAAUGAAACUGCUGGCGCAUUUCUGGAUGAUGUUAACUGUUUAAGCGUCUGUGCCGGAACUAUUGCUUCCAAGUCAUGUACAACAAGUAGUAAUAAUCUUGAUGUUUCUUUGCAGCUUUGAUGAAAUGUAGAGGAUUUUGAUGGAUGGGGAGAAUGCUUUUGCUUUUGGGGGAGAUUCCCACAGUUAUAUAUGAAGAGUAAAAUAAAAAAAUAAAUUGUCAGAUAGGCAGAAACUUGGUUUGUGUCACCUAAUACAUUCUGAAAACCUUUGGCCUUCUGUCAAUUUCUGUGGAAGUUUCCUUGUGAGACUCAGAUUUUGUUUCCAUGAAGCUUUAAAAUUUAUGAGCUUUGAUGUUGUUUCGGCAAAGAAAUUCGAUGCAGUCCCAAGUAUUUAUUCAUCAAUAAAACUAUGUACACUAUGUUUUUGUAAAUCUAAUUAAGUAUUCAAAUUA